AAAUAUGAUGACUUAUGCUUCAGAAGAUGCAAAACAUGCAUACACAGAGAUACAAUGUGCUUACCUAAAGUGAGCUGAAGCAAUGGAAUUCUUUCAUUUUUCCGAGUGCAACCCGUCCCUUGUUUUGUCCCAUCGCCAAAUGAGCCAUGUGGGCAAGAGCAGGUAUAACUUCCUUCAGUAUUAGUGCAUAUGCCUUUACAAGGAUUGUGUUGAUCAGCGCACUCAUUUUUAUCUAAAUAAACAUUAUUGAAACAAAAAAGCUUCAAUUUGUACGUACACAAGUAUUGCAGAACCAUUGUAAAAAGAAUUUUGUAAUAAUCGAGGACUUAUAUCAAAAAUACUAGGAACAUAAUUAAGCAUUACCUUUGCCAAUUUAAGCAUUCAUUCAGAUGCAAUUUGUACUACCAUUAAAUUGUUGAUCCUAUGAGUUUGACCAUAAAUUUCUAAUUUAUUGCUUAAAUUAUUUUCAUAAUCUUUAUGGAAUGAAGCUCGUGCAGAUGAAUGAACGCAAUAAGCCAUGCCAUAUCUACAUCACUUUUUGAGAUGUAUGAAGUUUUUGUUUCUUGGAAUGCACUGAAAUUCCUAUUUUUCUCUACAUACGCAGGGCAAUUGAGGCACACUAUAUAUCAUGGCAAAGGUUAACAUGAUAUUUGGAUGAUCAAUAUCUUAGGUGAUAUGUUAUUUUGAGUAUUGAGACAUCUGUCAUGGCACAGGUAUGCAAGGUAAGUAGUCUCGACGAGAUAAACCUAUUCUUAGAUAACCUUCCUUCUCUAAUAGUAGACACUUCAAUAUAUAUAUUUAGGAUGCUAGACGGCAAGACAUUACAGGACCACACAAGAUUGAGAAACGAAUUCAUGUACCAAUAGUUUGUUUCAUAAGACAAAAGAGAAAAGGUCUAAAGUAUCCAACACCAGUGCCUUUAGGACGUGUACAGGAAUCUUAUCAUAGAGCGUGGAACUGUGAGUCUAAAGCUAGUGCUGCUCUUAAAAUGUUGGUGUACAUACUAUUUCUUAACAGGACUAUAACUUGCAGACAACUUGCUAGUUGCAAGUUCUGAAAAUCUAUACCCAAAGUUACAGCAACAAUUUUACCCCUCAAAACUUAAAUGUGGAUAGUGCUUGCUUUGUUACAAUUUAUAAGCAUAAUUGCUUAGUAACUUCAAAAACACGAGAACAAAAGUGGUGCCGAAAAUUGUACCUUCUAAAUUACUUAACAAAAGCGCUUAUAAUAUGAAUAAUGGAAGUGUUUAUAUUAAGAAAGGGCAAUCAUUUAGCUAGCACCAAAACAAAAGGUUACUUUUGAUUAUAAACAAGCAUCUUUGGUUUGUCACAAAGCGCGCAGGACUGUGAAUGCAGACGAAUUGUGCCAAGUGAGGAACAUGUAUUGUAUAUACAGAAAUUAUUUAAGUUCCUGUGUUAAUUAAGAAGUAAAUAGUUCACAUUUCAUACCUUGACAACCAAGGUAAGGGUUUCCUUCAUAACCAUUACUGCAAUUGCAAAGAUAUCCAUUACUAUCAGCUGAAUAAUAACAGUUGCUAUGUUCCUUGCAGGCAAAUGUUUUGGGGUCUCGUUGUGCAUCUUUGCAUGUCUGAUUUGCUACUACCCAAUUAACCACCAACGGAAUAUUUGGAAGGGAACUAAUAUUAUCUAAGUGUGAUACAUUGAACGAACGAGUACUUUGUCCUCCUCAGCCAGGAACGCAGAGUUGCAUGCCCGAGAGGAUUGGAUGUCAGAGUAAUUGGGUAAAACAUGAAUUUCUUCUAUAAUGAAAGACUUCAAAUCUUGAGGGAUUGGAGACUGGCAACAACCAAUGCCAAAACAUGACCCUUCAGUCAUGUUUUGUCCACAAGUCGAUACACAGGAUGUCACGUAGUGAGAGCUAUUAUAAUCCUUCUUGGGUCGCACGAGGAAGUCGCAACCAAUGACAGUGAACUGGUUUUUUGUAGAAAGUGUGAAUGGUGUGUCUUCCAAAUCGAAACCAACGGAAGUAUCAUUUGGAACUAUACGCCAUUCAGUAUUACAAGUGGAAAGUACAAUGGUCUUUACACGAAAUUCAGCAUCUGAUAUUUCUAAAAGUUUGAAAUCUCCCAUUAUAGGUUUGGGUGGGUAGAAUGUGUUGUUGCAGGUAACAUUGGCCCAUUCAUUUAGGGAACACUUGUCUCCUACACCAAAUGGAUAACGAAUGGUUACAUUCCCGCAAUUUGGUUUGCACCCAGGCUUUGCAUGAGUACCACUUAAUUUUCCAGCCUCUGCAAGCAUGUGCCAUUGGAGUAAGAAAAGAAAUAAGAAGACCUCUACUGCAGCCAUUGAAGUUGAUUGUUGUUGUUUGUGGUGCAUAGAUAUUGUUGUUGAGCCUUUGAAUUUAAAGAGAUGACAGGCAGAGAUGAUCAACUGGAUGAAUCAAGCGGGAGUAGAGACCUUUUUGUCCCAUUUUUCUGUACAUCUGCCGUAAACCAUUGUGAUGAGCCUUAGACAUCAGCUUUUGGCUUUCCUUUAGAAGAAAGCCGACCUCCUGGAUGUCAGGGAAGUCUGACAGAGAGUUGUGUAUUCUUUUCUAGUCUGUGGUCACCAAAGGUGCAGUUGGAACUUGGAAGGAAGGGGAAUGUUGUUGAUAAGAAUUGUUUCCAUUUGUGAUCAGGUGUAUAAAAGGGCGUGGUCAUGUUGCAUUAUUAUUUCUUGGUCUAUAUAAGACUUGCGACAUAAUUUUGGGCCUGGGGCUUGUGGCAGACAAAAGGGAAAGAUUAUAUUUUUGUAUGAUCAGGUCCUACAGCAAUAAUUACUAAAACAAUACAGGACCUUUUGACUUAACCCCUCUUAUUUUGUCCACGUUUUGAAUAACCACCCCCCUCUCCC
rnacentral:lncRNA from 1 species